rnacentral:rRNA from 1 species
UUGACUGCGAGCGUGACGGCGCGAGCAGGUGCGAAAGCAGGUCAUAGUGAUCCGGUGGUUCUGAAUGGAAGGGCCAUCGCUCAACGGAUAAAAGGUACUCCGGGGAUAACAGGCUGAUACCGCCCAAGAGUUCAUAUCGACGGCGGUGUUUGGCACCUCGAUGUCGGCUCAUCACAUCCUGGGGCUGAAGUAGGUCCCAAGGGUAUGGCUGUUCGCCAUUUAAAGUGGUACGCGAGCUGGGUUUAGAACGUCGUGAGACAGUUCGGUCCCUAUCUGCCGUGGGCGCUGGAGAACUGAGGGGGGCUGCUCCUAGUACGAGAGGACCGGAGUGGACGCAUCACUGGUGUUCGGGUUGUCAUGCCAAUGGCACUGCCCGGUAGCUAAAUGCGGAAGAGAUAAGUGCUGAAAGCAUCUAAGCACGAAACUUGCCCCGA